rnacentral:rRNA from 1 species
CAGUCGCCACGGGAAUACGAAGGGGGCUAGCGUUGCUCGGAAUGACUGGGCGUAAAGCGUGCGCAGGCGGUUGUGUAAGACAGGUGUGAAAUCCCCGGGCUUAACCUGGGAACUGCGCUUGUGACUGCACAGCUAGAGUAUGGCAGAGGGGGGUGGAAUUCCACGUGUAGCAGUGAAAUUCGUAGAUAUUCGGAAGAACACCAGUGGCGAAGGCGGCUUACUGGCUCAUACUGGACGCUGAGGUGCGAAAGCGUGGGGAGCAAACAGGAUUAGAUACCCCCGUAGUCCCGUCUCUUAUACA